rnacentral:rRNA from 1 species
CAGCCCUAAACGAUGCGCGUUAGGUGUAUCGGUGACCACGAGUCACCGAGGUGCCGAAGGGAAACCGUGAAACGUGCCGCCUGGGAAGUACGGUCGCAAGGCUGAAACUUAAAGGAAUUGGCGGGGAGCACCACAACGGGUGGAGCCUGCGGUUUAAUUGGACUCAACGCCGGGAAGCUUACCGGAUAAGACAGCGGAAUGAUUGCCGGGCUGAAGACCCUGCAUGACCAGCUGAGAGGAGGUGCAUGGCGUAGUCGUGU